GGUUGGGGUAAUUAAACUGCCUUCAAGAAUCCGACUUACCUGGGUGGGUAGGU
rnacentral:ncRNA from 2 species